rnacentral:rRNA from 1 species
UACGUAGGGUGCGAGCGUUAAUCGGAAUUACUGGGCGUAAAGCGUGCGCAGGCGGUUCUCCAAGUCCGUUGUGAAAUCCCCGGGCUCAACCUGGGAACUGCAUUUGUGACUGCAUGGCUAGAGUACGGUAGAGGGGGAUGGAAUUCCGCGUGUAGCAGUGAAAUGCGUAGAUAUGCGGAGGAACACCGAUGGCGAAGGCAAUCCCCUGGACCUGUACUGACGCUCAUGCACGAAAGCGUGGGGAGCAAACAGG